AUGGAAAAGGGGAGAUAACUUCAAGAAGAAAAGGUAAUGUAAAAAUUAUUUGGGAUUUGAAACAUGACAGUAACCAGAUUCUUCAAUACCUCAGAUCACUAUUAUUUCUGUUGUGUGAUUUCAUUUUUGUGAAUACAAGUGAUCUGUCUCCUCAGAUAAAGAAAUUCAUUCUCCAAACCCAGGCUCUUUACUCGUAUAUUUGUCUAUCAGGGAAUUGAACACCACGGUUGCUGGCACAUAUGUGCCAAAUGCAUGAUGGAUGGUAGAGAUGUUGAGUGUCUCGUGAGUACAGUCAUUUGCUUCAUUUCCU
rnacentral:lncRNA from 1 species